GCUGGGUGUGGUGGUGCACACCUAUUGUCCCAGCUACUUGGGAAGCUGAGACAAGAGGAUCACUUGAGCCCAGGAGUUCAAGGCUGCAGUGAGCUAUGAUCAUGCCACUGCACUUCAGCCUGGACAACAGAGCAAGACCAUGUCUCUA
ensembl:misc_RNA Metazoa_SRP Metazoan signal recognition particle RNA